GGGGCCGACUGGUUUUGACAGCAUGACGAAGAGUUAUGUAAGCAUGUCGGGUUUUGCAAGACUAUCCGUAACAAGUGUUGCAACGUUUUUAGUUGGCGAAAACAACUACGCACUUGCAGCUUAAUCCGAAUUAUAGUAGGAUGGCUUAAUCGGUACACAAGGUGUAUCGACAAGUAUCUUCUCACUGAAGCUCGCCGAACGCUUUAGUGAAUAUGAAGAUUCAGCGAGGAAGGCUAGUGUGCAAUGCGCUUCGAAUUGCAUGCGAAAUUUAGAAGAUAAGCUUGAGUUUGGUUGCUUUUUGCCGUGUUCAAGUCGAAAAACAAUAAUAAGCUAAGCAUGU
rnacentral:tmRNA from 1 species